UGGGCCAACUUCUCUCCAGAUGAAAACUUACUCCUCUUCCCAGGCGACCACAGCGAAUCAGGACAUUUUCACUCUAUCAAGGAUGGGGAGGAAGAAAGUGAAGAAACGGAGAAGCAAAGAAGGUGGUUCUCUCCACUUCUGUAUGAUGGCACAGUGUUAGCGGGAGGAAUGACUGUGGCUGUAUACCUCUCUCCACUGCUGAGUGCCCAUGAGGCCAGUGUUAACAGGAGGAAUGACAGU